UACGGGGGGGGCAAGCGUUGUUCGGAAUUACUGGGCGUAAAGGGCUCGUAGGCGGCCAACUAAGUCGGAUGUGAAAUCCCCAGGCUCAACUUGGGAACUGCAUCCGAUACUGGAUGGCUUGAAUCCGGGAGAGGGAUGCAGAAUUCCAGGUGUAGCGGUGAAAUGCGUAGAUAUCUGGAGGAAUACCGGUGGCGAAGGCGGAUCUCUGGGCCUUACCUGACGCUCAGGUGCGAAAGCUAGGGGAGCGAACAGG
rnacentral:rRNA from 1 species